rnacentral:snRNA from 1 species
GAAUCUGAGGGUGAUUUGGCUGCCAUGUCUGUCACCCCAUUGAUUGCCAGAGUGCAUUUGAGCUAAUCAUGCUGGUUUAGUGGGUAUCCCCUUCCUUCCUUAUAGCUCUAUAUGGUCUCUUCCAAAGCUGAGCACUUCAUGGAAGAGUACAGAGACCUUCCCAGGAAGAAGAGGACUAUUCUUUCAUCACAGGCAUAUGAAUAGCUGUGCUCCCCUGAUAGAAAUUGCAAAUAAGCUUUUGAGGUCAAAUUCAUUUCAUAAGGUUUGUAUGACCUUGAAAACAAACUAGACAGUACAGAAAAUGAAACUUGACAUAUAUUG